CCUACGGGAGGCAGCAGUGGGGAAUAUUGGACAAUGGGGGAAACCCUGAUCCAGCGACGCCGCGUGAGUGAAGAAGUAUUUCGGUAUGGAAAGCUCUAUCAGCAGGAAAGAAAAUGACGGUACCUGACUAUGAAGCCCCGGCUAACUACGUGCCAGCUGCCGUGGUAAUAUGUAGGCGGCAAGCGUUAUCCGGAUUUACUGGGGGUAAAGGGAGCGUAGACGGCAGCGCAAGUCUGGAGUGAAAUGCCGGGGCCCAACCCCGGAACUGCUCUGGAAACUGUGAAGCUUGAGUGCAGGAGAGGUAAGCGGAAUUCCUGGUGUAGCGGUGAAAUGCGUAGAUAUCAGGAGGAACACCGGCGGCGAAGGCGGCUUACUGGACUGUAACUGACGUUGAGGCUCGAAGGCGUGGGGAGCAAACAGGAUUAGAUACCCGUGUAGUC
rnacentral:rRNA from 1 species